UUCCUUUUCCAUUAAAACAGUGUAAACCAAACAAUUAUAUAAGGGCUUAGUUUUUGAACAGGAAGCUAUUUUCUAGCUCUGCAAGCCUGUAGGUCUAUGAAUCUGAAAACAUCUACUGCCUGUGCUUUCUUCAACUUGACAAACACCUUGGACAAAAUGUGGCAGCAAUUAUGCCCUGUGGACACCAGGAGUCAUGAACCGUUCAUCCCAGAGGACCUGCUGAGGCACUGAAUUACCACACUGAGGAAACCAAGCCCCAAAUAGCCUGGGUCCAGGGGGCUGAGUGCUUCUGCCUGUUUCAGAAAGAAAUGCACACGUCGGCACUGUGGAAACUGCCUCAGCAUCUUCAAACAGUUACAAAGACAUGUUGGGUCUCAUCACCAACCAAAGAGCCACUCUCACCUGUUCUUGCCUCUUUAAAAAAGCAGAUCCACUUGAAAUGAGAGCAGUGCGGAGGCCACAGCCAGUAGGAAGAUGGACCAAGUUUUCCACUUCUGUGGUUCCGAUGAAAAGGGUUUUGCACUCAUUUGGCUGGGUCAGUUUCACCAUCAGGUGUUCCAGGGAUUACUUAUGCUGGCUGGCCUGAUUGAACGACCAUAUGGCAAAGGCUCCUGCACUUCCAGCUGCCCAGAGUUCCUUUCCAGCUGCAGCGGAAACACAAGCAGUGUAGAAGGAGAUCAGAUGGACUUCUCAUCUCAGUUUUCUGGAGAGGUGGUUGGAGCCGAUGAUCCUGCAGGUCCUUCUGAUUCUACAAUCCAGACGUUUUAAAGACUCACGCCCACACCCCUACCCCACCCC